rnacentral:lncRNA from 1 species
CAAUAUACGAUUAAUGAAUAUACCAUGAUGCAUAAAAAUGGAUUCCUCAAAUAAAAUAAAGGAUGUAUGUUAGUUUUUCUAACAUAAGGGGGAGAUUAUAAGCGGCUAUGAAACAUGUUAGGAAUUAUCAUCAGAUCCUCAUUCAAAAGAUAGUUCAAGUAAAAUACUGAAAGCAUCUCAUAUCUAAGCUGCAAGUGCUCUUAUUUUGUGUUCUUAAAUGACAAAGUCUACCCAUACAUGAAGAGUGGUAGACCAAUCGGUUCCUUGAAAUAAUCUGUGAAAAAUAAAGAGCAAAUAAUCAUAAUAAGAAGGUAAUGUACUCUUGAAGAGCCUACGACAUAACACUUCAUGAAACCUUAUGAGAGGUUCAGGUACCUGAGAAUAAUGAAGUGAUGAGAUCUCAAAAUGUUAUGUCACAUUGUGAACCGAUACAAAAUGAUAUAUCAUCGAUAAUAUCUUUCAUACAAUAUUGACGCAAUUAAAUAUUACGAGGAUCCGAAUUCUACGUUAUUUAAGCAUGUUGACGAAGAAAUAUUUAUCAAGUAACGUGAAAGGAUACAUCUUGGUAAGUAUAAAACUUAUUUGAUUUGCAGUCCAUAUACUUAAAGAUGUCACUCAUGUAAUGUUGAAUAUUGUCACUUGAAAAAAUUUACAUGAAAAUUUAUUUAAGGAUUCAAAAUGUUUGAAGCAUAUAAAAGUUUCAAGAAAACUUAUUUAUAAUCCUUAUAUUGCAUAAGUUUAUAACUUGAAAAUUAUUAGAACUCUUUGAGAGUAUUCAAAAGCAAUAGAUUAUUGGCUGAAAUGAGAAAUAUUCCAAAUUGGACUAUUAUAAAGUACCAUAUCUUAGUGCAAUUGAUGCACAAAUGUAUCUUGCAAAUACCACAAGGCCCGAUAUAGCUUUUUCAGUUAAUUUGUAAGAAAGGUGUAAUUCUUCUCCUACUAGGAGACAUCGAAAUGGGAUCAAAUACAUAAUUUUAUUUUGUUCUAAAGAUUGCAGUCCCGAUCUUGUUAGAUAUGCAUAUGUUGGGUACUUAUCGGACCCGUAUAAAGCUCGAUCUCAAAUAAGUUAUGUGUUCAUAUGUGAGGAUACUGCUAUAUAUUGAAGAUAUACAAAACAGUCUAUCAUAGCUACCUCAUCGAACAGUGCUGAGAUAAUAGCUAUUCAUGAAGUAAACCGAGAGUGUGUGUGGUUAAGGUCCAUGAUACAUCUCAUUCGCGAAAAAUAUGAUUUGAAAUGUGAUAAAGUACCCAUGACUUUUAUGAAGAUAAUGCAGCAUGCAUAGCAUAACUUAAGGGAGGAUUCAUAAAAGGAGAAUGAACAAAACACACUUCAUCAAAGCUUUUCUGUACAUAUAAUCUCCAAAAGAAUGGUAUUAUUAAUAUACAACAGAUUCGUUCAAGCAACAUGUAGCUGAUUUAUUCACCAAGUCCACUCCAAUUGCAACUUUCAAGAAGAUGGUGCACAAGAUUGGGAUGCAAAGGUUCAAGGAUGUUCUCAUUAGGAGGAGUUAAUACGCGUUGUACUCUUUUUUCCUUAUGAGGUUUUGUCGCAAUGAGUUUUUCUUGUAAGGUUUUUUUAAUGAGGUAACCGAAAUAAGUAUGUUAUAGAUGUGUACUCUUUUUCCUUCACUAGAUUUUUUGUCCACUAGAUUUUUUUCUUGUAAGGUUUUAACAAGAUACAUUAUUUGUCAAUUAGACAUUCAAGGAGGGUGCUAUAAAUAUAUUACCAUAUAUAGUGAAUGUUUAUUUUACCAUAUGUAGUGAAUAUCUAUCUGUAAUCUAUAAUAUAUUAAAAGUGUGAAAACCCUUAGAAAAGUGAUUUGAACUUUUUGCCCUUCAUUAAAAGUCUUCGCAAUAGACAAAAUCAUCUUUUUAUCCUUUUUCAUCAAUUAUUAUAUUAUUAUUUUUAUAAUAUUUUAAGGACUCCUACAAUAUAUAGGAGGGGGUAAUAUAUGGGAAGAAUUUAGAUGUCUAUUUUUGAUAUAUUAGGAAAAUAAAUAUUGAUUAUGGUAGGUUUUAAAGGUAAUUUGUCUUUGACUUGGACAUUAGUUAUGUUUAUUUAAGGUUUAGUUAUAGUUAUUCAUGAUACGUUGUUCUUUUUUUGCUACACACGACAACGAUUAUGUGUAUUCAACCUAUUUCUUAUACUAAUUGUAAUACACAUUGGUAGGCUUUCUAUUAAAUAUCUGAUUUAAUUUGUUUAUGUUUUUUGUUUAUUUGAUUGAAAUUGUUAUUCAAGAGAUCGUUGGCUUGAUCCAUGACACAUAUUUUCACACGCAAGAAACAAAGUUGAUUCGUUUUCAAAACAACAACGGAAGACAAUAACGCUUUUUGUUGUUGUCUUAAUUUGAGCUUUGAAUUAUAUGCAGUAAUAUGCAGUUGGGGAAAUAGACAAAAUUAUCUUUGUUUUGUUGACAUCUGCAUUUUUCUUCUACUUUUUUUUUAUAUUCAGGUUUUCGCUGGUUUUCUAUCAACGAAUGUUUUUUCUUAAAUUUAGAUACCCACUAUGUAUGUUUCUUUCGUCAUGCAACGUCUUUUCUCUAUAGUGAUUUUAUCUUUCCUAAGCACUCUAAUACUUAAUAGAAAAUUAUGUAAUUAUUAAGAUCUAUUUUGAGACUAUGCGAUUGUGUAGGAGGCUUUAUUUAAGGAUACUCUUCUAUCACCAAAAUUUAAAAGCAAGUUCUACAAAAUGGUGAAUUAAAUUGGCUAUAUUGUAUGAAGCGGACAUGGCACAAUUUUCUCUUACUAAUGCCAUGACCUUAGAUAAGAGGUCAUGGAGGACACUGAUUAGCGAGGAAGAUUAGUUAGACAGUAGUGAACCAUAUUUGAUUUUCUUAUGUCUCUAUCUAUGAAUAUUCACUUCAAUAUUUUCAAAGUUUUUUCUCGAAACAAGAUUAUGUUGGGCUUAAUGUUUUGCUUAAACAUUGUUGAAGGACGAAGGAAAAGUUUGAGUAACUUUCUGCCUAAUUCUCGGUCAGCUACUGAUCUCUGAAAAGGUUCAGAAACUGUUUAGGUGGAGCUUUGAGUUUUAUUCAUGAAUUAGAGGUAAUUGUCAGUAUUAGACACGUCAAUUUGUUGAACUUGAGAGGUUUCACUGUCACAUUCUUUUUGCAGGGUCAUCAAAGAAUUACUGUUUGUGAUUGAUGAAAAAUGAGAGUUUAUAUGAUCAUUUAUUUGGGUGGAAAUGCAAAAAUUGAAUUGGCCUAUUAUUCAAAAAAUUGCAAUUGAUAUAGCUAGAAGCUUCACUUGCUUGCAUUAUGGAGCACAACGACUGUCACUCAUAGGGGCAUAAAGUCAAGUAAAUAUACAUUUAGACGAAAAUUUAUGUCUAAGAUUGCGAAUUUUGAAAGAAAAGAAUGCCAAGAAACCAAAUCAACGAAGAAAACUUAUAGUACAUUGGUUGACAAAAAAAAUGAAAGUAAAUUGAAGGUUGAAGGCAUUAUUGAAAAAGUGACAAAUUAAAAGCAGUGUGUUGUAAUAAUGUAACAAAAUUACUUAUUUAACACUUUGCAAGAUGUAAAACUCAAUUACUAAAAUGCAUUGCGAGAAAGCAAAGAGGAAAUUAAAAAUAACAAAUUAAAUGACAUGAUGCGCCUAAUUGUUCUUUGAGGCUACAAUUCGCGUCCUGUAAUCAUGCAAUGAACUGAACUAAGUCACAUGACAAUUAACUGACUCUGAGAAACAAAGAAGUUAUUAAUGAAUAGUGAGUAAUGAUUAGUACAAUUAUAUAUGGUCAAUUAGGUAGGGCUAGCUAGAAAUAUAUUUAAUUUGGAUCCAUCCAAGUGAUGCAUUAGAUGAAUAAUGAAAAUAUUGUGAUGUAGUAUCAUGACUAGAUGUAAUAUAUUGAUUUUCUUUCUAUGGAUUACUAUCUAGAAGAUAGCAGUUACAUUGUAGAUAUAGCCACUCCGGCAAAUAUAUUAUAAUUUAGUCUUUCUAUUCUUAUUUUUAAUUCUUUACGUUUUUCAGAGAUAAUUUGUCUUAAUUCUUUAUAUUGUUGUAUUUUAUUCAUUUUAAAUUAUAUUUAUAAUAUCUUGGUGGAUAUCUAAAUCUAAUUUUAUUAUAAUUAGGCGGUAUAUAUUUCAUUCUUCUAGAUUUUAAAUGUGUUAUUAAUUUUGAUUCAAUACUAGAUAUUAAUGUAAUUAAAUAGGCUAGUUUUUGUGGAUUUUCUUUUGUUUUAUUUAGACUUAUAUAUUCUGAAUAAUUACUAAUUAAUGAUUUUUUUAUUUUUCUAAAAGCUUCUCUAUUUUUAAAUGGUCUUCGCAUAAUUAAUUUAAUAUUUUCGUAGGUAAUUUUUUAAUUUUUUAACUUUAAUUCUAAUUCUAAUUCUAAUAUAUAUCUCUUCCGUACUUUUUAGAUUACUGGGCUCUGAUACCAUUAGGGGGGUGCGCGGAUUUAAUUAAAUAGGUAUAAUAGAUUUGGUACAUAUUUGUAGUGAAUCUAUUUUUAUUUAGUGCGUGGAUGUUAUCUUUUAAUAAUUUACUUUUUUCGUAAGAUAUAUUCAUUAAUUAUUUUAUCCUGUAGUAAUUACAGAGUUACAAAUUCUUGUAUAAUAAUUUAUCCUAUCUGUGCUAUAAUAUAUAUCUAAUUCUAGAUUUUCAAUGUUAUUUAUUAUUUUGUGUUGUUCUUCUCGUAGUGAGUUUUUUAAAUUAUAUAAACUAUCACAUGUACUUUUAUCUAAAUUUUCUAAGGUUUUUUCUAUCCAUAUUAAUUUUUCUUUUAGGUCUUUCAUUAUUUGUCUAAUUCGGUUUCUAUAAUUAAUUUCAUUAUUUAGAUUUUCUUGAUUUUCUCUAGUUUGUCUAAUAUAUUCUAACAUUUUUUAAUCUGAAUAAUAUCCUUCUGGGUAAAUUUCUUCGUAUAACUGUUCUAGAUAAUUUAUAGUUUCAAUUUCGUAGUCUAUUACUUUUUCUAAUAUUAUUUUCUUAAUAUCUAUAAUUUCUAUGUUUUUAAGUAUAUAUAAUAUUAAAACUUUAAGAUAAUCUAAAUGAUCUAUUUUUAAAAUUGUUUUGUAGCUGUUUGUUUUAGUCUUAGUAGUUUUUGCAUAUUUUUAUUAAGAAAUUUUAUAUCUUUGUUUUCCAUGUGUUUAUUUUUAUUUUUUCUAGUAACUGCAAAAGUUUUUGUUUUUAUCUUCUUUUUUUUUUUAUGUAACUUAUCACCUUAAGUAUUUAUAAGAGUCGUUAGGUAUUUGUGGUAUAUAGCUUAUUCUAGACAUAUAAUUUUUACCAAAAGCUUUUUCUAAUAUUAUUUUUCUUAUAUCUGCUACUUUUAUAUUUCUAAGUGCAUACAAAAUAAGUAUCUUGAAUUUAUCUACCAUCACAUCAGAUAUAUUAUCAUUCAUUUUUCAUAAAUUUGCUUUUUUCAAAAUAUUCCCUUCAAUCACGUACACAACAAAAUAUGGUCAUAUUGGCUUACUAUAUACUAGAUUAUUCUUAAAUAAUAUGUUCUUCCGUCACUAUUAACAUGGUAAUCUGGAUACUUUUUCCCUUAAACAGCGCCUCUACUCUGGUUACUCCCCGCCACGGCUUCUUGCCUCAUUGGUUUCACCUUUAGGAUGGCAUAGUCCUUAGGGAUAUUUCUCCGUUUCCUCUUUGUUAAUAAACUUCUUAACAUAUUAUUCUUCGAAUAAUUCUACUAUAAAGUAACUAAUAUGAAUUUAUUUUAUCAUAUCAUGAUUGUUGGGAAUUAUGAAAUUAGCUAUUCAUAAUUAUAAAUAGAUAUACCUGUUCCGGUAGCUUUGAUGUUUCUGAGUUUUGUUGUUCCUGUUGUUCCAUAGCUUUUUCCAUUGGAGUAUAUUUUUCUAAUUAACUGAGUAAAUUUUUUGUUUGUGGAAUGGAGAGAGAGAUUUGUUUCAAAAGAAGGCUU